rnacentral:rRNA from 1 species
AGAGAGCCUCUAAGCAUAUCCAUAGUCGUCCGUACCGCAAACCGACACAGGUAGAUGAGAUGAGUAUUCUAAGGCGCGUGAAAGAACUCUGGUUAAGGAACUCUGCAAACUAGCACCGUAAGUUCGCGAUAAGGUGUGCCGCAGCAAUGCGGUCUCAGCAAAGAGUCCCUCCCGACUGUUUACCAAAAACACAGCACUUUGCCAACUCGUAAGAGGAAGUAUAAGGUGUGACGCCUGCCCGGUGCUCGAAGGUUAAGAGGAUGCGUCAGUCGCAAGAUGAAGCGUUGAAUUGAAGCCCGAGUAAACGGCGGCCGUAACUAUAACGGUCCUAAGGUAGCGAAAUUCCUUGUCGGUUAAAUACCGACCUGCAUGAAUGGCGUAACGAGAUGGGAGCUGUCUCAACCAGAGAUUCAGUGAAAUUGUAGUGGAGGUGAAAAUUCCUCCUACCCGCGGCAAGACGGAAAGACCCCGUGGACCUUUACUACAACUUAGCACUGCUAAUGGGAAUAUCAUGCGCAGGAUAGGUGGGAGGCUUUGAAGUAAGGGCUUUGG